rnacentral:sRNA from 1 species
UUGUCAGCCCUGGAGACUGAGGUUCUUUAUCUACAAAACAGGUAGAGCAUAGGCAGCAGCAGUGCAAGUUCCCCUCACUGCCCCGCCAAUGUGCUUCACCUUGGAGUGUGAGAGGUUUGUUUAGUCUUCUCCUAGCCCACUUAAACCUUGGCCUCU